AGACGUCUACAUUAGAUACCCCCGUAGUCCCAGCCGUAAACUAUGCGCGUUAGGUGUAUCGGUGACCACGAGUCACCGAGGUGCCGAAGGGAAACCGUGAAACGUGCCGCCUGGGAAGUACGGUCGCAAGGCUGAAACUUAAAGGAAUUGGCGGGGAGCACCACAACGGGUGGAGCCUGCGGUUUAAUUGGACUCAACGCCGGGAAGCUCACCGGAUAAGCCAGCGGAAUGAUUGCCGGGCUGAAGACUCUGCAUGACUAGCUG
rnacentral:rRNA from 1 species